UACGUAGGGUGCAAGCGUUGUCCGGAAUUAUUGGGCGUAAAGAGCUCGUAGGCGGUUUGUCGCGUCGAAUGUGAAAACCCGGGGCUCAACCCCGGGCCUGCAUUCGAUACGGGCAGACUAGAGUUCGGUAGGGGAGACUGGAAUUCCUGGUGUAGCGGUGAAAUGCGCAGAUAUCAGGAGGAACACCGGUGGCGAAGGCGGGUCUCUGGGCCGAAACUGACGCUGAGGAGCGAAAGCGUGGGGAGCAAACAGG
rnacentral:rRNA from 1 species